GCUGACACAUCCCUGCCAAUCUCUGGCAGACCCUCCCUCCCAGACCCUCCUACUUCCUGGACAGCAUCCAUGUUGAAGGCAGCUUCAACAUGGAUGCUGUCUAGGAGGUGGGAGGGUCUGGGAGGGAGGGUCUGCCGGAGAUUGGCAGGGAUGUGUCAG